GACAGAGGGGGCGAGCGUUGUCCGGAGUCACUGGGCGUAAAGCGCGCGCAGGCGGUCGGCAAAGUGUCAUGUGAAAGCCCCCGGCUUAACCGGGGGAGGCCAUGGCAAACUCGACGGCUUGAGUGGCGGAGAGGCCUCUUGAAUUGCAGGUGUAGCGGUGAAAUGCGUAGAUAUUGGCAGGAAGACCAAGGGGGAAGGCAGGGGGCUGGCCACUGGUUGACGCUGAGGCGCGAAAGCGUGGGGAGCGAACCGG
rnacentral:rRNA from 1 species